GCCCAUGUGGCGCAAUGGUUAGCGCGUCGCUUUCCUAAGGCGAAGGUUGUGGGUUCGAGUCCCACCUUGGGUU
rfam:Fistulina hepatica ATCC 64428 unplaced genomic scaffold FISHEscaffold_469, whole genome shotgun sequence.